UACGAAGGGGGCUAGCGUUGUUCGGAUUUACUGGGCGUAAAGCGCACGUAGGCGGAUCGUUAAGUCGGGGGUGAAAUCCUGGAGCUCAACUCCAGAACUGCCUUCGAUACUGGCGAUCUUGAGUCCGGAAGAGGUGAGUGGAACUCCUAGUGUAGAGGUGGAAUUCGUAGGUAUUAGGAAGAACACCAGUGGCGAAGGCGGCUCACUGGUCCGGUACUGACGCUGAGGUGCGAAAGCGUGGGGAGCAAACAGG
rnacentral:rRNA from 1 species